rnacentral:rRNA from 1 species
GAUGAACGCUAGCGGCAGGCUUAAUACAUGCAAGUCGAGGGGCAGCACAGGUAGCAAUACUGGGUGGCGACCGGCAAACGGGUGCGGAACACGUACACAACUUACCUUCUGGUGGGGGAUAGCCUUUGGAAACGGAGAUUAAUACCCCAUAUUAUAUAUGAGCUGCAUGGUUUGUAUAUUAAAGAUUUAUUGCCGGAAGAUGGGUGGGCGUAUGAUUAGGUAGUUGGCGGGGUAACGGCCCACCAAGCCGACGAUCAUUAACUGGUGUGAGAGCACGACCAGUCACACGGGCACUGAGGCACGGGCCCGACGCCUACGGGAGGCAGCAGUAAGGAAUAUUGGUCAAUGGACGGAAGUCUGAACCAGCCAUGCCGCGUGGAGGAUGAAGGUCCUCUGGAUUGUAAACUUCUUUUAUAGGGGGCGAAAAAAGGGAAUUCUUUCUCGUCUGACGGUACCCUAUGAAUAGGCACCGGCUAACUCCGUGCCAGCAGCCGCCGUAAGAC